UCUUCUCUCACACAGACACACCCUUCUGCCUCUCUCUCGAUCUCCCUACACUCCGGCAACUGGAGCCGAAGUCCGGCGAGCUCCGGUGACCCCCCUUCUUCACUCCGAUUAAGCACCACCAUCACCAUCACCCUCCUCCUCCCUCUUUCAAGCUCGCACCUGAACAAACCACCUCCACUGGUCUCUUCAGCCAGCGCCCGACACCACUGUUGGUGGCGGCGGCGGCGGCUUAACGACAGCGGCGGCAACAGGUUCCUCUCCCAACAAACCACUCCCACAGCUCGUCUUUCCCUCUCUUCCCGAUACACGACAGCGGCAAACCACGAAGACGUCGCCGGGAACCGCAAGCUUUUGUUUCGGUUAAUCGCUCUCGUUCAUUCUCUUGGAAUUCUCAAUCCUUACUUGUGCGUUACUUUCAAGAAAUCGCAAAGCAAUUUUGUGGUUAACAAACGAAAUAGAAACGAGGUAUACCGACAAAACGAGAUACGUGUUUCGACUUGUGCUCCAGUGACGUUUUCACAACUCCGGCAGGCUGUAGUCUCUCCGGCGUGUUGCCGGUGGUAACGAGUCGAGUCGAGUCCCCGGUGUGAUCUCCGAAUCGUCCUCGCAACUCCGGCAAGUGGUGAGUUCUUCGGCGUGAGCUUCCUUAUCCGGCCAAAACUUGAACUCCGGCGAUCUUCGAAACAGUGAGGAAGGAAUAAAAAGUGCGAGUGGGUUUGAAGAAGGGUGUGGUUUCGAGGUGGUGACAAGGUCCGGUAUUUAUAAGCUAUGGGUCUCGCAAGGAAUAUGGAAACGAUCUCGUAAUUUCGGAAAUGACUCGUGAUUGAUUGGCAAUCAAUCAAGAGAAGGAAAUGAUUGAUCUUGAUUGAAUCUGGUUGUUGACUUUGCUCCGAUCAUGAAAAAGGAAGGUUACGUUGUUGUUGAAAUCGAUUUGGCGGUAUAAUGAAAUGGUUUUGAACUUCUGUUUGUAUAUAAAAUUUAUA